rnacentral:rRNA from 1 species
GACGAACGCUGGCGGCGUGCCUAACACAUGCAAGUCGAGCGAGUGAAUCUCCUUCGGGAGUGAAGCUAGCGGCGGACGGGUGAGUAACACGUGGGCAACCUGCCUCAUAGAGGGGAAUAGCCUUUCGAAAGGAAGAUUAAUACCGCAUAAGAUUGUAGCUUCGCAUGAAGUAGCAAUUAAAGGAGCAAUCCGCUAUGAGAUGGGCCCGCGGCGCAUUAGCUAGUUGGUGAGGUAACGGCUCACCAAGGCGACGAUGCGUAGCCGCCCUGAGAGGGUGAUCGGCCACAUUGGGACUGAGACACGGCCCAGACUCCUACGGGAGGCAGCAGUGGGGAAUAUUGCACAAUGGGGGAAACCCUGAUGCAGCAGCGCCGCGUGAGUGAUGACGGCCUUCGGGUUGUAAAGCUCUGUCUUCAGGGACGAUAAUGACGGUACCUGAGGAGGAAGCCACGGCUAACUACGUGCCAGCAGCCGCGGUAA